AUGGCGUUGGCCCUGUUUCUCCUCACAGUUCUCAGUUACUACUCAGGUGUCACUUCCUUGUCACCUUGGAGUCAGCCUGCCUCAGCAUCUGCAUCCCAGGGACAAACAGCAAAACUCUCCUGCUCUACCAACAGUGGAAGUAGUGCCAUUGAUUGGUAUCGACAGAAACCUGGACAGGCCCCCCACUAUGUGCAUAGUGAGGGUUACAGCAGAGGAGACGGGAUCCCGGAUCGAUUUACGGCUUCUGUUUCUGGCAGCAGUGGCUAUUUAACCAUCACCAAUGUCCAGCUUGAAGAUGAGGCAGAUUAUUACUGUGCCAAGUGGUACAACAGUGCUAGCGAGAUUCACAGUGGCAAAAGCUAA